rnacentral:rRNA from 1 species
GAACGCUGGCGGCAGGCCUAACACAUGCAAGUCGAGCGGUAGCACAGAGAGCUUGCUCUCGGGUGACGAGCGGCGGACGGGUGAGUAAUGUCUGGGAAACCGCCUGAUGGAGGGGGAUAACUACUGGAAACGGUAGCUAAUACCGCAUAACGUCGCAAGACCAAAGAGGGGGACCUUCGGGCCUCUUGCCAUCAGAUGUGCCCAGAUGGGAUUAGCUAGUAGGUGGGGUAAUGGCUCACCUAGGCGACGAUCCCUAGCUGGUCUGAGAGGAUGACCAGCCACACUGGAACUGAGACACGGUCCAGACUCCUACGGGAGGCAGCAGUGGGGAAUAUUGCACAAUGGGCGCAAGCCUGAUGCAGCCAUGCCGCGUGUAUGAAAGAAGGCCUUCGGGUUGUAAAGUACUUUCAGCGAGGAGGAAGGCAUUGUGGUUAAUAACCACAGUGAUUGACGUUACUCGCAGAAGAAGCACCGGCUAACUCCGUGCCAGCCGCAGC